rnacentral:rRNA from 1 species
AGAGCGAACGCUGGCGGCAGGCCUAAUACAUGCAAGUCGAACGCACCUUCGGGUGAGUGGCGGACGGGUGAGUAACACGUGGGAACGUGCCCUUUGGUUCGGAAUAAUCCGGGGAAACCUGGCCUAAUACCGGAUGAGCCCUUCGGGGGAAAGAUUUAUCGCCAUUGGAGCGGCCCGCGUCUGAUUAGCUAGUUGGUGGGGUAAAGGCCCACCAAGGCUACGAUCAGUAGCUGGUCUGAGAGGAUGAUCAGCCACACUGGGACUGAGACACGGCCCAGACUCCUACGGGAGGCAGCAGUAGGGAAUCUUGCGCAAUGGGGGAAACCCUGACGCAGCCAUGCCGCGUGAAUGAUGAAGGUCUAGGAUUGUAAAAUUCUUUCAGCGGGAAGAUAAUGACUGUACCCGCAGAAGAAGCUCCGGCUAACUUCGCGCCAGCAGCCGC